rnacentral:rRNA from 1 species
UCGCACGCACGGAGCUUGCUCCGUGAGUGGCGCACGGCUGAGGAACAUGUGGGAACCUGCCCAUCCGUGGGGGAUAACCCGACGAAAGUCGGGCUAAUCCCGCAUACGCUCACCAGAGGUGAGGAAAGCAGUGAUGCGCGGGUGGAGGGGCCUGCAGCCCAUCAGGUUGUUGGCGGGGUAACGGCCCACCAAGCCGGUGACGGGUAGCUGGUCUGUGAGGAUGACCAGCCAGACUGGGACUGAGAAACGGCCCAGACUCCUACGGGAGGCAGCAGCAAGGAAUUUUCGGCAAUGGGCGCAAGCCUGACCGAGCAACGCCGCGUGCAGGAAGACGGCCUUCGGGUUGUAAACUGCUUUUGCGGGGGAUGACAACUGACAGUACCCCGCGAAAAAGGCUCGGCUAACUCUGUGCCAGCAGCCGCGGUAAGACAGAGGAGCCAAGCGUUGUCCGGACUGACUGGGCGUAAAGCGCACGCAGGUGGUCAGGCAAGUGUCGUGUGAAAGCGGCCCGCUUAACGGGUCGAGGCCAUGGCAGACUGCGUGACUGGAGGUCGUGAGAGGUCCGUGGAAUUGCCGGUGUAGUGGUGACAUGCGUAGAUAUCGGCAGGAACACCCAAGGGGAAGCCAGCGGACUGGCACGAUGCUGACACUGAGGUGCGAGAGCGUGGGGAGCGAACCGGAUUAGAUACCCGGGUAGUCCACGCCGUAAACGAUGGAUACUCGCCCUAUGGCGGUGUAAGAGCCGCUGUGGGGCUAAGCCAACGCGAUA